AGUGAACGCUGGCGGUAUGCCUAACACAUGCAAGUCGAACGGCAGCACAGUAAGAGCUUGCUCUUACGGGUGGCGAGUGGCGGGCGGGUGAGGAAUACAUCGGAAUCUACUUUUUCGUGGGGGAUAACGUAGGGAAACUUACUCUAAUAUCGCAUAUGACCUACGGGUGAAAGCAGGGGAUCUUCGGACCUUGCGCGAUUGAAUGAGCCGAUGUCGGAUUAGCUAGUUGGCGGGGUAAAGGCCCACCAAGCGGACGAUGCGUGUCUGGUAUGAGAGGCUGAUCAGCCACCCUGGAACUGAGACACGGUCCCGACUCCUAGGGGAGGCAGCAGUGGGGAAUAUUGGACAAUGGGGGCAAGCCUGAUACAGCCAUACCGCGUGGGUGAAGAAGGCGUUCGGGUUGUAAAGCCCUUUUGUUGGGAAAGAAAAGCAGCAGGUUAAUACCCCGCUGUUCUGACGGUACCCAGAGAAUAAGCACCGGCUAACUUCGUG
rnacentral:rRNA from 1 species